rnacentral:rRNA from 1 species
AGUCAAGUAAUUAAGUGCAUGUGGUGGAUGCCUUGGCAGUCAGAGGCGAUGAAAGACGUGAUAGCCUGCGAAAAGCUCCGGGGAGGCGGCAAAUAUCCUUUGAUCCGGAGAUGUCUGAAUGGGGGAACCCACCUACUUUAAGGUAGGUAUUGCAACAUGAAUACAUAGUGUUGCAAGGCGAACGAGGGGAAGUGAAACAUCUCAGUACCCUUAGGAAAAGAAAUCAAUUGAGAUUCCCUCAGUAGCGGCGAGCGAACGGGGAUCAGCCCAUUAAGUUAUGUGUGUUUUAGUGGAACGCUCUGGGAAGUGCGAACGUAGAGGGUGAUAUUCCCGUACACGAAAGGGCACACAUAAUGAUGACGAGUAGGGCGAGGCACGUGAAACCUUGUCUGAAUAUGGGGGGACCAUCCUCCAAGGCUAAAUACUCCUGACUGACCGAUAGUGAACCAGUACCGUGAGGGAAAGGCGAAAAGAACCCCUGUGAGGGGAGUGAAAUAGAUCCUGAAACCGCAUGCAUACAAGCAGUGGGAGCACCUUCGUGGUGUGACUGCGUACCUUUUGUAUAAUGGGUCAGCGACUUAUAUUCAGUAGCAAGNNNNNNNNNNNNNNNNNNNNNNNNNNNNNNNNNNNNNNNNNNNNNNNNNNNNNNNNNNNNNNNNNNNNNNNNNNNNNNNNNNNNNNNNNNNNNAAGUAUGCUGGAGGUAUCAGAAGUGCGAAUGCUGACGUGAGUAACGACAAAACGGGUGAAAAACCCGUUCGCCGAAAGACCAAGGGUUCCAGUCCAACGUUAAUCGGGGCUGGGUGAGUCGACCCCUAAGGCGAGGCCGAAAGGCGUAGUCGAUGGGAAAAUGGUUAAUAUUCCAUUACUUCUGUGUAAUGCGAUGAGAGGACGGAGAAGGCUAAAUCAGCCUGGCGUUGGUUGUCCAGGUGAAAGGAUGUAGGCAUGUAUCUUAGGCAAAUCCGGGGUACUCUAUGCUGAGAUCUGAUAGCAAGCUGUACUUGUACAGCGAAGUGGUUGAUGCCAUGCUUCCAGGAAAAGUCUCUAAGCUUCAGUUACACAGGAAUCGUACCCGAAACCGACACAGGUGGUCAGGUCGAGUAGACCAAGGCGCUUGAGAGAACUCUGCUGAAGGAACUAGGCAAAAUGGUACCGUAACUUCGGGAGAAGGUACGCUGUUGUUGGUGAUGGAACUCGCUUCCUGAGCUGACGACAGCCGCAGAAACCAGGCCGCUGCAACUGUUUAUUAAAAACAUAGCACUCUGCAAACACGAAAGUGGACGUAUAGGGUGUGAUGCCUGCCCGGUGCUGGAAGGUUAAUUGAUGGGGUUAGCGUAAGCGAAGCUCUUGAUCGAAGCCCCAGUAAACGGCGGCCGUAACUAUAACGGUCCUAAGGUAGCGAAAUUCCUUGUCGGGUAAGUUCCGACCUGCACGAAUGGCAUAAUGAUGGCGGCGCUGUCUCCAGCAGAGGCUCAGUGAAAUCGAAAUCGCUGUGAAGAUGCAGUGUACCCGCGGCUAGACGGAAAGACCCCGUGAACCUUUACUGCAGCUUGACACUGAACUUUGACCUUACUUGUGUAGGAUAGGUGGGAGGCUUUGAAGCUGGAACGCUAGUUCCAGUGGAGCCGUCCUUGAAAUACCACCCUGGUAAUGUUGAGGUUCUAACUCUGUCCCGUGAUCCGGGACGAGGACCGUGUCUGGUGGGUAGUUUGACUGGGGCGGUCUCCUCCUAAAGAGUAACGGAGGAGUACGAAGGUGCGCUCAGCGUGGUCGGAAAUCACGCGUAGAGUAUAAAGGCAAAAGCGCGCUUAACUGCGAGACCCACAAGUCGAGCAGGUACGAAAGUAGGUCUUAGUGAUCCGGUGGUUCUGUAUGGAAGGGCCAUCGCUCAACGGAUAAAAGGUACUCUGGGGAUAACAGGCUGAUACCGCCCAAGAGUUCAUAUCGACGGCGGUGUUUGGCACCUCGAUGUCGGCUCAUCUCAUCCUGGGGCUGAAGCAGGUCCCAAGGGUAUGGCUGUUCGCCAUUUAAAGAGGUACGCGAGCUGGGUUUAGAACGUCGUGAGACAGUUCGGUCCCUAUCUACCGUGGGCGCUGGAAAUUUGAGAGGAUCUGCUCCUAGUACGAGAGGACCAGAGUGGACGAACCUCUGGUGUACCGGUUGUGACGCCAGUCGCAUCGCCGGGUAGCUAUGUUCGGAAGGGAUAACCGCUGAAAGCAUCUAAGCGGGAAGCCUACCUCAAGAUAAGAUUUCCCUAGGACUUUAUGUCCUCUAAAGAGCCGUUCGAGACUAGGACGUUGAUAGGUUGGAUGUGGAAGCAUAGUGAUAUGUGAAGCUGACCAAUACUAAUUGCUCGUGAGGCUUGACUAU